UGGACUUUCAGUGUGUAAAGAGGCAUUUGAGUUGUAACAUGAAAGAACUCAUAGAUUGAAACAAGCACAGCACACUGCAGAGACAGUUACUUGGAGAUUCCAAUCCAGCUGGGGCAUGUAACCUACAAUGUGAUUCAUUUUGCAAGUCACUAAACUGCUUGGAGCCUCAACUUUCUCACCUGCAAAAUGGGGCUGAAUGAAGUCUUGAGGCUCAAUGCCUCUGAGGCUCCCAGUGUUCUUGUCUCAAUCCACUGGUGAGGAGUGCUGCCAAGAAAGCAGAUGAGAACACAUUUGUGGACAGAUUCUGUGUACAAGCUGGGGAUCAAGGAGGCAUGCUGCUAUCAGGAAGUUUAGGAUAUGGUCCCCCAGGCCUAUUCCUUCCUUCAUUCAUUGUCUCUUUAUUAAAAAGGAACUGUCUGCAGCAACUAA